GAUGAACGCUGGCGGCGUGCCUAAUACAUGCAAGUCGAGCGAAUGGAUUAAGAGCUUGCUCUUAUGAAGUUAGCGGCGGACGGGUGAGUAACACGUGGGUAACCUGCCCAUAAGACUGGGAUAACUCCGGGAAACCGGGGCUAAUACCGGAUAACAUUUUGAACCGCAUGGUUCGAAAUUGAAAGGCGGCUUCGGCUGUCACUUAUGGAUGGACCCGCGUCGCAUUAGCUAGUUGGUGAGGUAACGGCUCACCAAGGCAACGAUGCGCAGCCGGCCUGAGAGGGUGAUCGGCCACCCUGGGACUGAGACACGGCCCAGACUCCUACGGGAGGCAGCAGUAGGGAAUCUUCCGCAAUGGACGAAAGUCUGACGGAGCAACGCCGCGUGAGUGAUGAAGGCUUUCGGGUCGUAAAACUCUGUUGUUAGGGAAGAACAAGUGCUAGUUGAAUAAGCUGGCACCUUGACGGUACCUAACCAGAAAGCCACGGCUAACUACGUGCCAGCCGCCGCAGUAA
rnacentral:rRNA from 1 species